rnacentral:misc_RNA from 1 species
AAAGUCGUAACAAGGUUUCCGUAGGUGAACCUGCGGAAGGAUCAUUACCGAGUUCAUGCCCUUCGGGGUAGACCUCCAUCCUUGCAUACAAUACCCUUCGUUGCUUUGGCAGGCCGCCUCACACGAGCCACCGGCCCCGGCUGGUGCGCGCCUGCCAGAGGACCACAAAACCCCGUGUCAUAGGUGUCGUCUGAGUACUAUACAAAUAGUUAAAACUUUCAACAACGGAUCUCUUGGUUCUG